CCUAGCCCUUCAGAGGGGGACAACAGUUGGAAACGACUGCUAAUACCGCAUACGAUCUGACCUCGGCAUCGAGGAUAGAUGAAGGGUGGCCUCUAUUUAUAAGCUAUCACUGAAGGAGGGGAUUGCGUCUGAUUAGCUAGUUGGAGGGGUAACGGCCCACCAAGGCGAUGAUCAGUAGCCGGUCUGAGAGGAUGAACGGCCACGUUGGGACUGAGACACGGCCCAG
rnacentral:rRNA from 1 species